UGUUCUAGUAAGUAUUUUGGCAACACUGUGAGACAAUUCAAUCUAUACUCAAAACAGAGCAAGGAGUAUCCAGAGUAAUGACGCCGACAGUUCACUCAGCUGGUACCAACCGACCUUUGACACAGGAACCCCUCUAUUCUUUGAUCCAGUAGGUAAGACUCAGGACAUUACUGACAUUCAUAUCUGGUAGGAUGGACAGCAGAACUUAGAACAUGACCCAUAAUUACAGCUUUCAAACGUUUAUGUCACUGGACGUUGAUGUUCAACCAAAGCACCACUUAAGGCAGCAUUUCCAACAUGCUUCGGUUCAAACUUUAGCUGUCAUGCUUCUCAGAAUGAUACGACCCGUGUUUUUUUAUAUCAAUGUGGUAUGCUCAGAGCUGUUAACCCUUUCUGUCUUCAGGUCGCAGCGUGACGGCUGACUGAAGGACGAGCAGCACAUGAGAUGUUUGGUUGAACCUGAUGUGUGAAAAAACACUUUUUAUUUUAUUUUGCAUUGUAGAAAUGGUUUUCAUGCUUUGCGCCCUACAUGUGUUGAUGUUUAAAGAUAUAUUAAAGAGAUGCGGUUUGUAUUUUCAGAUGUAUUAUCUGUUAUUAUAUAGUGACAGUUAAACCCACAUGUUCCAUCUGCUGUGUGUAGUCACAUGAGUGUGAAACUGUGGUCAACCACCACCUUGAUGCUGCAGCUUCACUUUCAUCUGAAGCACGCUGAUCGAGUCCAAAUAAAGAAAUGAGUCUAACACUUUAAGUCUAAUGUGGUUGUAAAUGUCAUACAUCAGAAGACAGAAAAUAACUGUGCCAUUAAAGAAGUGACUGGUGUUUAUUCUUUCAUGCAAACAGUAUUUUCUCAGGUUCUUCUUAUCAGCGAUCCAGAUUCAUAUUCAACAUGUUCAACAAAAACGUCUUUUUGAGUGGACAGUAACGGCAGUAGCUCUCAAAUGCUUUGAGCUGAAUGCUAUUACAAUGCAAGCUAAUAUGUUCAAAAUUACCAUGCUAACAUGCUAAUGCUAAUUAGAUCACAUAUUUCACUGUCUCUACGAAAAGAUGAGUUUCACCAUCUGGGGACUGAAUGUCUGAACAGAAUCUGAAGUAAACCCAGGACCUUCAUGAAAAGAGUUCUUGAUUCUGAUUGGCUGGCAGCGGUACGAAGAGUUCUAGAAGAGUUCACAAGUGUGAAGGGUUUGAAGGUGGCAGGUUUUUGACUAUUGUCACAGAAAAAAAAAGAAAAAGCUUUGAAUGAAUUAAAAAUCAGAUCUUCUUUAUGGGUUCUCACUGUGAAUAAAACAAUUGUUUUAACCUUUAAUUUGUAUCCACCAUUGGACUCAGAACAAUA